CACGUACUGUGCGAACGUUAUUCGGAAUCACUGGGCUUAAAGGGUGCGUAGGCGGCCUUGUCAGUCAGGUGUGAAAUCCCACGGCUCAACCGUGGAACUGCGCUUGAAACUGCAAGGCUUGAGUGAGACAGGGGUGUGUGGAACUUCUAGUGGAGCGGUGAAAUGUGUUGAUAUUAGAAGGAACACCGGUGGCGAAAGCGACACACUGGGUCUUAACUGACGCUGAGGCACGAAAGCCAGGGUAGCGAAC
rnacentral:rRNA from 1 species